GUAAGGAAUAUUGGGCAAUGGGCGGAAGCCUGACCCAGCCAUCCCGCGUGCAGGAUGACGGCCCUAUGGGUUGUAAACUGCUUUUAUUGGAGAAGAAAGAAGUGCAUUUAUGUGCUUUUGACGGUAUCCUAUGAAUAAGCACCGGCUAACUCCGUGCCAGCAGCCGCGGUAAUACGGAGGGUGCAAGCGUUAUCCGGAAUCACUGGGUUUAAAGGGUGCGUAGGCGGCUUGAUAAGUCAGAGGUGAAAGCUGGCAGCUUAACUGUCAAACUGCCUUUGAUACUGUUGAGCUUGAAUCAGGUUAAGGUAGGCAGAAUGUGGCAUGUAGCGGUGAAAUGCAUAGAUAUGCCAUAGAAUACCAAUUGCGAAGGCAGCCUGCUGGGCCUGAAUUGACGCUGAGGCACGAAAGCGUGGGGAGCAAACAGGAUUAGAUACCCCAGUAGUCC
rnacentral:rRNA from 1 species